rnacentral:hammerhead_ribozyme from 1 species
GCACUACUGAGGAGUCCCAAAAUAGGACGAAACGGUUUUCCAGUGC